CAAUAGCGUAUAUUUAAGUUGUUGCAGUUAAAAAGCUCGUAGUUGGAUUUCUGCUGAUCGCUGUCGGUCUGCCGUCAGGUGUGCACUGGCAGUGUUUGGCAUCUAUUCGAGAUUGGGUGUCCACUUGAUUGUGUGCACUUGAUUUCGGAGCUAAUACUUUGAGAAAAUUAGAGUGUUCCACGCAGGCGCGUACCUUGAAUACUGCAGCAUGGGAUAUUGGAAGGCCGAUUGAGCUUUCUUGUUGGUUCUCGGUUUGAUCGGAAUGAUUAAUAGGGAUAGUUGGGGGCAUUCGUAUUCAACUGUCAGGGGUGAAAUUCUUGAUUUGUUGAAGACGGACUACUGCGAAAGCAUCUGCCAUGGAUGUUCUCAUUG
rnacentral:rRNA from 1 species